AAGCCUCCUUUUAAGUUGAUUCUGAAAACAAAGAAUGGCUAUAAUAAAUAAAGGACCACCAUCAAUCUGAUAACUUCCACCCCCCACCCACCCACUCACACACACACACAAACACAUUUGUAACACUUCAAAUUGAAAACGCAACAUCCAGAAUACAAAGAAGACGGUUGAUACAUACUGUCCAAGAACUAUCAGCAUUGGGAAACAAGUUUGCUCCACCCCGACUGCCACCUG
rnacentral:misc_RNA from 1 species